rnacentral:rRNA from 1 species
UCGAACGGUAGCRGGRGGAAGCUUGCUUUUYUGCUGACGAGUGGCGGACGGGUGAGUAAUGCUUGGGAAUCUGGCUUAUGGAGGGGGAUAACUACGGGAAACUGUAGCUAAUACCGCGUAAUAUCUUCGGAUUAAAGACUGGGAACUUCGGUCCAGUUGCCAUAAGAUGAGCCCAAGUGGGAUUAGGUAGUUGGUGGGGUAAAGGCCUACCAAGCCUGCGAUCUCUAGCUGGUCUGAGAGGAUGGCCAGCCACACUGGAACUGAGACACGGUCCAGACUCCUACGGGAGGCAGCAGUGGGGAAUAUUGCACAAUGGGGGGAACCCUGAUGCAGCCAUGCCGCGUGAAUGAAGAAGGCCUUCGGGUUGUAAAGUUCUUUCGGUGAUGAGGAAGGGUGGUGUUUUAAUAGAGCAUCAUAUUGACGUUAGUCACAGAA